rnacentral:rRNA from 1 species
GACGAACGCUGGCGGCGUGCUUAACACAUGCAAGUCGAACGGUGAAGCGGGUGCUUGCACUCGUGGAUCAGUGGCGAACGGGUGAGUAACACGUGAGUAACCUGCCCAUCACUCUGGGAUAAGCGCUGGAAACGGCGUCUAAUACUGGAUACGACCAACCCUUGCAUGGGGUGUUGGUGGAAAGAUUUAUCGGUGGUGGAUGGACUCGCGUCCUAUCAGCUUGUUGGUGGGGUAAUGGCCUACCAAGGCGACGACGGGUAGCCGGCCUGAGAGGGCGACCGGCCACACUGGGACUGAGACACGGCCCAGACUCCUACGGGAGGCAGCAGUGGGGAAUAUUGCACAAUGGGCGAAAGCCUGAUGCAGCGACGCCGCGUGAGGGAUGACGGCCUUCGGGUUGUAAACCUCUUUCAGCAGGGAAGAAGCUUUUGUGACGGUACCUGCAGAAGAAGCACCGGCUAACUACGUGCCAGCAGCCGCGGUAAUACGUAGGGUGCGAGCGUUUGUCGGAAUUAUUGGGCGUAAAGAGCUUGUAGGCGGUUUGUCGCGUCUGCUGUGAAAUCUAGGGCUUAACCCUGGACGUGCAGUGGGUACGGGCAGACUAGAGUGUGGUAGGGGAGACUGGAAUUCCUGGUGUAGCGGUGGAAUGCGCAGAUAUCAGGAGGAACACCGAUGGCGAAGGCAGGUCUCUGGGCCAUUACUGACGCUGAGAAGCGAAAGCAUGGGGAGCGAACAGGAUUAGAUACCCUGGUAGUCCAUGCCGUAAACGUUGGGCGCUAGGCGUGGGUCUCAUUCCACGAGAUCCGUGUCGAAGCUAACGCAUUAAGCGCCCCGCCUGGGGAGUACGGCCGCAAGGCUAAAACGCAAAGGAAUUGACGGGGGCCCGCACAAGCGGCGGAGCAUGCUGAUUAAUUCGAUGCAACGCGAAGAACCUUACCAAGGCUUGACAUGCACCGGACAGCCCCAGAGAUGGGAUCUUCUUCGGACUGGUGCACAGGUGGUGCAUGGUUGUCGUCAGCUCGUGUCGUGAGAUGUUGGGUUAAGUCCCGCAACGAGCGCAACCCUCGUUCUAUGUUGCCAGCACGUGAUGGUGGGGACUCAUAGGAGACUGCCGGGGUCAACUCGGAGGAAGGUGGGGAUGACGUCAAAUCAUCAUGCCCCUUAUGUCUUGGGCUUCAAGCAUGCUACAAUGGCCGGUACAGAGGGUUGCGAUGCCGUGAGGUGGAGCGAAUCCCAAAAAACCGGUCUCAGUUCGGAUUGGGGUCUGCAACUCGACCCCAUGAAGUCGGAGUCGCUAGUAAUCGCAGAUCAGCAACGCUGCGGUGAAUACGUUCCCGGGCCU